GGGGGAGGGCCGUCAGCCAUGAAACAAACACUGUGCUGCUGCCGCUUCGUCCUAUGACUCCAACACUGACACAUUUAUCAGAAGGAUGGAUUCAGCUGACGAUUUGGACGAAGACGAACUUCUGGACUUCAACGUUCAGAUGAGCAUUCAGGAGUCGUGUCAUCUAAUGGGACCAGGGAGGAGUGAAGCUUUGAAGCUUGCGUUGGCCAUCAAACAAGGUAAAGAGUCAAAUGCUGGUGUGGUUAGAAAUCCAAACGGGCCACAGUGUUAACAUCAAUAAACUGUUUUCAUCAAAAUACAUAAUUAAAGACAAGGAUGUAUUGAGUCCAUAGUUGAGACUGACUCUCAGUGGAGCCAGAUGCAUUUACAAAUGUAAAAAAAAAUACCGACACUUCCUGAGGCACCACCAUCAUCUAAACACCAAAUGAGGAAAUAUCUUUUGAAUCAGAACCUGCUGGAAGUAGCCAUCAGAAGAUGGGUACACUGUGGUCAUAAAGGGAU